rnacentral:rRNA from 1 species
AUUGAUGAUCGCAGUCUAGGACCAUGAUUGCAUGAAUCGCAUGCCCGACAGAUAAUGUUUCGAUACUGUUGGACAGGACAACCAAUGCGUACUUAAGAAUAAGCUCGACUAAUACGUGCCAGCAGCUGUGUAAAUACGUAGAGGAGCAAUGCUUUAUCGAUUUAUGGAUGUAAAGGGUGCGUAGACCGAAUACAACAAGGUUAGUUGUGAAAAUACCUCGGCUUAACUGAGGAACUGCAAACUAAAACUAUAUAUCUGAGUACUGGAGGAGAAAAGCAGAUAUUCCUAGUGUAGCGGGUGAAAUGCGUAGAUAUUAGGAAGAACACCGGUGGCGAAGGCGGCUUUCUGGACAGCAACUGACGUUGAGGCACGAAAGUGUGGGGAGCAAACAGGAUUAGAUACCCUGGUAGUCCACACCGUAAACGAUGGAUACUUGGUGUUGGCUGUGAUGAGCAGUCAGUGCCGUCGCAAACGCAGUAAGUAUCCCACCUGGGGAGUACGACCGCAAGGUUGAAACUCAAAGGAAUUGACGGGGGCCCGCACAAGCAGUGGAGUAUGUGGUUUAAUUCGACGCAACGCGAAGAACCUUACCAAGGCUUGACAUAUACAGGAAUAUUAUAGAAAUAUAAUAGCUCUUCGGAGUCUGUAUACAGGUGGUGCAUGGUUGUCGUCAGCUCGUGUCGUGAGAUGUUAGGUUAAGUCCUGCAACGAGCGCAACCCCUAUUUCCAGUUGCCAGCACGUAAUGGUGGGAACUCUGGAGAGACUGCCGGUAAUAAAUCGGAGGAAGGUGGGGAUGACGUCAAAUCAUCAUGCCCUUUAUGUCUUGGGCAACACACGUACUACAAUGGCCGUUACAAAGAGAAGCAACACAGUGAUGUGAAGCAAAACUUGAAAAAGCGGUCUCAGUUCGGACUGAAGGCUGAAAUUCGCCUUCACGAAGUCGGAAUUGCUAGUAAUGGCAGGUCAGCAUACUGCCGUGAAUACGUUCCCGGGCCUUGUACACACCGCCCGUCACACCAUGAGAGUUGGGAAUACCCGAAGCCUGUGAGCUAACUUAUAGGAGCAGCAGUCGAAGGUAGAAUCAAUGAUUGGGGUGAAGUCGUAACAAGGUAAAUCACUGACCGUCGUAAGCCUU